rnacentral:rRNA from 1 species
GUAGGUGGCAAGCGUUGUCCGGAAUUAUUGGGCGUAAAGCGCGCGCAGGCGGUCCUUUAAGUCUGAUGUGAAAGCCCACGGCACAACCGUGGAGGGUCAUUGGAAACUGGGGGACUUGAGUACAGAAGAGGAAAGCGGAAUUCCAAGUGUAGCGGUGAAAUGCGUAGAGAUUUGGAGGAACACCAGUGGCGAAGGCGGCUUUCUGGUCUGUAACUGACGCUGAGGCGCGAAAGCGUGGGGAGCAAACAGGGAUUAGAUACCCUGGUAGUCCACGCCGUAAACGAUGAGUGCUAAGUGUUAGGGGGUUUCCCGCCCCUUAGUGCUGCAGCUAACGCAUUAAGCACUCCGCCUGGGGAGUACGGCCGCAAGGCUG